rnacentral:rRNA from 1 species
AACGUAGGAGACAAACGUUAUCCGGAGUUACUGGGCGUAAAGGGCGUGUAGGUGGUAGUGUAAGUCUGGCGUGAAAUUUUUCGGCUUAACCGGGAAAGGUCGUCGGAUACUGCACAACUAGAGGACGGUAGAGGCGUGUGGAAUUCCUGGUGUAGCGGUGAAAUGCGCAGAUAUCAGGAAGAACACCCGUGGCGAAGGCGGCUCUCUGGUACGUGACUGACGCUGAGACGCGAAAGCGUGGGGAGCGAACAGG